rnacentral:ncRNA from 2 species
GAACGUCUUCAGGGCGGGGUGCGAUUCCCCACCGGCGGUAUGCAUGCGCAAGCGUGUGAGCCCGCGAGCGCUUCGCUGCCGAUCUCUCGCUGAGAGCACGGCGGUGAAGGUCAGCAGAUCCGGUGCGAUGCCGGGGCCGACGGUAUAGUCCGGAUGAAAGAAGACGGCC